AUUGAACGCUGGCGGCAGGCCUAACACAUGCAAGUCGAACGGUAGCACAGAGAGCUUGCUCUCGGGUGACGAGUGGCGGACGGGUGAGUAAUGUCUGGGAAACUGCCCGAUGGAGGGGGAUAACUACUGGAAACGGUAGCUAAUACCGCAUAACGUCGCAAGACCAAAGUGGGGGACCUUCGGGCCUCACACCAUCGGAUGUGCCCAGAUGGGAUUAGCUAGUAGGUGGGGUAAUGGCUCACCUAGGCGACGAUCCCUAGCUGGUCUGAGAGGAUGACCAGCCACACUGGAACUGGGACACGGUCCAGACUCCUACGGGAGGCAGCAGUGGGGAAUAUUGCACAAUGGGCGCAAGCCUGAUGCAGCCAUGCCGCGUGUAUGAAGAAGGUCUUCGGGUUGUAAAGUACUUUCAGCGGGGAGGAAGGCGGUGAAGUUAAUAACUUCACCGAUUGACGUUACCCGCAGAAGAAGCACCGGCUAACUCCGUGCCAGCAGCCGCAGUAA
rnacentral:rRNA from 1 species